GCCGGGUUCGUCUAAUAGGAAGGCCCCAGUCUUACAAACUGGAGACGGCGGUGCGAUUCCGUCACCCGGUACCA
rnacentral:tRNA from 1 species